rnacentral:rRNA from 1 species
UACGUAGGGUGCGAGCGUUGUCCGGAAUUAUUGGGCGUAAAGAGCUCGUAGGCGGCCUGUCGCGUCGGAUGUGAAAGCCCGGGGCUUAACCCCGGGUCUGCAUUCGAUACGGGCAGGCUGGAGUGUGGUAGGGGAGAUCGGAAUUCCUGGUGUAGCGGUGAAAUGCGCAGAUAUCAGGAAGAACACCCGUGGCUAAGGCGGCUCUCUAGUACGGUACUGACGCUGAGACGCGAAAGCGUGGGGAGCGAACAGG